GAUUGAACGCUGGCGGCAGGCCUAACACAUGCAAGUCGAGCGGAUGAAGGGAGCUUGCUCCUGGAUUCAGCGGCGGACGGGUGAGUAAUGCCUAGGAAUCUGCCUGGUAGUGGGGGAUAACGUCCGGAAACGGGCGCUAAUACCGCAUACGUCCUGAGGGAGAAAGUGGGGGAUCUUCGGACCUCGCGCUAUCCGAUGAGCCUAGGUCGGAUUAGCUAGUUGGUGGGGUAAAGGCCUACCAAGGCGACGAUCCGUAACUGGUCUGAGAGGAUGAUCAGUCACACUGGAACUGAGACACGGUCCAGACUCCUACGGGAGGCAGCAGUGGGGAAUAUUGGACAAUGGGCGAAAGCCUGAUCCAGCCAUGCCGCGUGUGUGAAGAAGGUCUUCGGAUUGUAAAGCACUUUAAGUUGGGAGGAAGGGCAGUAAGUUAAUACCUUGCUGUUUUGACGUUACCAACAGAAUAAGCACCGGCUAACUUCGUG
rnacentral:rRNA from 1 species